GUAGGUGGCAAGCGUUGUCCGGAAUUAUUGGGGCGUAAAGCGCGCGCAGGCGGUUCUUUAAGUCUGAUGUGAAAGCCCACGGGCUCAACCGUGGAGGGUCAUUGGAAACUGGAGAACUUGAGUACAGAAGAGGAAAGCGGAAUUCCACGUGUAGCGGUGAAAUGCGUAGAGAUGUGGAGGAACACCAGUGGCGAAGGCGGCUUUCUGGUCUGUAACUGACGCUGAGGCGCGAAAGCGUGGGGAGCAAACAGGAUUAGAUACCCUGGUAGUCCACGCCGUAAACGAUGAGUGCUAAGUGUUAGGGGGUUUCCGCCCCUUAGUGCUGCAGCUAACGCAUUAAGCACUCCGCCUGGGGAGUACGGCCGCAAAGGUUGA
rnacentral:rRNA from 1 species